GACGAACGCUGGCGGCGUGCUUAACACAUGCAAGUCGAACGGUAAGGCCCUUCGGGGUACACGAGUGGCGAACGGGUGAGUAACACGUGGGUGAUCUGCCCUGCACUUCGGGAUAAGCCUGGGAAACUGGGUCUAAUACCGGAUAGGACCACUGCCUGCAUGGGUGGUGGUGGAAAGCUUUUGCGGGGUGGGAUGGGCCCGCGGCCUAUCAGCUUGUUGGUGGGGUGAUGGCCUACCAAGGCGACGACGGGUAGCCGGCCAGAGAGGGUGACCGGCCACACUGGGACUGAGAUACGGCCCAGACUCCUACGGGAAGCAGCAGUGGGGAAUAUUGCACAAUGGGCGCAAGCCUGAUGCAGCGACGCCGCGUGAGGGAUGACGGCCUUCGGGUUGUAAACCUCUUUCAGCACCGACGAAGCGCAAGUGACGGUAGGUGCAGAAGAAGGACCGGCCAACUACGUGCCAGCCGCCGCCGUAA
rnacentral:rRNA from 1 species